CCUACGGGAGGCAGCAGUGAGGAAUAUUGGUCAAUGGGCGCUAGCCUGAACCAGCCAAGUAGCGUGAAGGAUGACUGCCCUAUGGGUUGUAAACUUCUUUUAUAUGGGAAUAAAGUGCAGUAUGUAUACUGCUUUGCAUGUACCUUAUGAAUAAGGAUCGGCUAACUCCGUGCCAGCAGCCGCGAUAAUACGGAGGAUUCGAGCGUUAUCCGGAUUUAUUGGGUUUAAAGGGAGCGUAGGCGGGUUGUUAAGUCAGUUGUGAAAGUUUGCGGCUCAACCGGAAAAUUGCAGUUGAUACUGGCAGCCUUGAGUACAGUAGAGGGAGGCGGAAUGCGUGGUGUAGCGGUGAAAUGCGUAGAUAUCACGAAGAACUCCGAUUGCGAAGGCAGCCUGCUGGACUGUAACUGACGCUGAGGCUCGAAAGUGUGGGUAUCAAACAGGAUUAGAUACCCUAGUAGUC
rnacentral:rRNA from 1 species